AGCGGAAAGGAUCGACCGGACUCGGGCGGCGCAGGCACCGCACAUCAUCCCGCCGACCUCGAGGAGGACCGAGGAGUUCUUGACCUGCUCCUCCUGCUGGGGUUCGCCGGACGUGGCGGCGCCGAUCUCGACGGCAUUCGGGCGGGGGAGGCGAAGGGGACCAGCUGAGCUAGGCCGCCGUAAGAGGCGGAGGUGAGGAGGAGUGAUCCGGACAGAGCGAACGGGGCUGAGGUGGAUCUUAGGUUUAGGGCUAAUGGAGACUCGAAG
rnacentral:lncRNA from 1 species